rnacentral:rRNA from 1 species
GCAAGUCGAACGAUGAACUCCAGCUUGCUGGGGGGAUUAGUGGCGAACGGGUGAGUAACACGUGAGUAACCUGCCCUUAACUCUGGGAUAAGCCUGGGAAACUGGGUCUAAUACCGGAUAUGACUCCUCAUCGCAUGGUGGGGGGUGGAAAGCUUUUUGUGGUUUUGGAUGGACUCGCGGCCUAUCAGCUUGUUGGUGAGGUAAUGGCUCACCAAGGCGACGACGGGUAGCCGGCCUGAGAGGGUGACCGGCCACACUGGGACUGAGACACGGCCCAGACUCCUACGGGAGGCAGCAGUGGGGAAUAUUGCACAAUGGGCGCAAGCCUGAUGCAGCGACGCCGCGUGAGGGAUGACGGCCUUCGGGUUGUAAACCUCUUUCAGUAGGGAAGAAGCGAAAGUGACGGUACCUGCAGAAGAAGCGCCGGCUAACUACGUGCCAGCAGCCGCGGUAAUACGUAGGGCGCAAGCGUUAUCCGGAAUUAUUGGGCGUAAAGAGCUCGUAGGCGGUUUGUCGCGUCUGCCGUGAAAGUCCGGGGCUCAACUCCGGAUCUGCGGUGGGUACGGGCAGACUAGAGUGAUGUAGGGGAGACUGGAAUUCCUGGUGUAGCGGUGAAAUGCGCAGAUAUCAGGAGGAACACCGAUGGCGAAGGCAGGUCUCUGGGCAUUAACUGACGCUGAGGAGCGAAAGCAUGGGGAGCGAACAGGAUUA